CCUACGGGACGCAGCAGUCGGGAAUAUUGCACAAUGGAGGAAACUCUGAUGCAGUGACACCGCGUAUAGGAAGAAGGUUUUCGGAUUGUAAACUAUUUUAGACAGGGAAGAAAAAAGACAGUACCUGUAGAAUAAGCUCCGGCUAACUACGUGCCAGCAGCCGCGGUAAUACGUAGGGAGCAAGCGUUAUCCGGAAUUACUGGGUGUAAAGGGAGCGUAGGCGGGACUGCAAGUUGGGUGUCAAAUCUACCGGCUCAACCGGUAGCCGCACUCAAAACUGCAGUUCUUGAGUGAAGUAGAGGCAG
rnacentral:rRNA from 1 species